UACGAAGGGGGCUAGCGUUGCUCGGAAUCACUGGGCGUAAAGGGCGCGUAGGCGGACUCUUAAGUCGGGGGUGAAAGCCCAGGGCUCAACCCUGGAAUUGCCUUCGAUACUGAGAGUCUUGAGUUCGGAAGAGGUUGGUGGAACUGCGAGUGUAGAGGUGAAAUUCGUAGAUAUUCGCAAGAACACCAGUGGCGGAAGGCGGCCAACUGGUCCGAUACUGACGCUGAGGCGGCGAA
rnacentral:rRNA from 1 species